AUUGAACGCUGGCGGCAGGCCUAACACAUGCAAGUCGAGCGGAUGAAGGGAGCUUGCUCCUGGAUUCAGCGGCGGACGGGUGAGUAAUGCCUAGGAAUCUGCCUGGUAGUGGGGGAUAACGUCCGGAAACGGGCGCUAAUACCGCAUACGUCCUGAGGGAGAAAGUGGGGGAUCUUCGGACCUCACGCUAUCAGAUGAGCCUAGGUCGGAUUAGCUAGUUGGUGGGGUAAAGGCCUACCAAGGCGACGAUCCGUAACUGGUCUGAGAGGAUGAUCAGUCACCCGGGAACUGAGACCCGGUCCAGCCCCCUACGGGGGGCAGCAGUGGGGAUUUUUGGACAAGGGGCGAAAGCCUGAUCCAGCCAUGCCGGGUGGGUGAAGAAGGUUUUCGGUUUGUAAAGCAUUUUAAGUUGGGAGGAAGGGAAGUAAGUUAAUCCCUUGCUGUUUUGACGUUACCAAAAAAAUAAACCCCGGCAAACUUCGG
rnacentral:rRNA from 1 species